rnacentral:rRNA from 1 species
AAACUAACAAGGAUUCCCCUAGUAACUGCGAGUGAAGCGGGAAAAGCUCAAAUUUAAAAUCUGGCGGCUUUGGUCGUCCGAGUUGUAUUCUAGAGAAGUGUUUUCCGCGUUGGACCGUGUAUAAGUCUCUUGGAAUAGAGCGUCAUAGAGGGUGAGAAUCCCGUCUUUGACACGGACYACCAAUGCUUUGUGAUACACUCUCAAAGAGUCGAGUUGUUUGGGAAUGCAGCUCAAAAUGGGUGGUAAAUUCCAUCUAAAGCUAAAUAUUGGCGAGAGACCGAUAGCGAACAAGUACCGUGAGGGAAAGAUGAAAAGCACUUUGGAAAGAGAGUUAAACAGUACGUGAAAUUGCUGAAAGGGAAACGCUUGAAGUCAGUCGCGUUAGCUAGAACUCAWCCAGGCUUGCUUGGCGUAUUUUCUAGUUAACGGGCCAGCAUCAGUUUUGACCGCAGGAAAAGGGCCAGGGAAAUGUGGCAUCUUCGGAUGUGUUAUAGUCUCUGGUCGUAUACUGUGAUUGGGACUGAGGACCGCAGCACGCGCAAGCUGUGCUUAGGAUGCUGGCGUAAUGGCUUUAAACGACC